UGCGGCGGUCAUAGCGGCGGGGAAACACCCGGCAUCCAUUCCGAACCCGGUAGUUAAGCCCGCCAGCGGCGAGGGUACUGCGGUCGGCAGGCCGUGGGAGAGCAGCUCGCUGCCGCAU
rnacentral:rRNA from 1 species